rnacentral:tmRNA from 1 species
GGGGGCGAUUUGGGCUCGACGGGGUAGUGGCGCUACUGAAGAUCAUGCCGGGGUCUCCACGUUAGAGAGAAAAAACAAAGAAUAAGUGCCAACGAAGAAUUGGCUCUUGCAGCUUAGCGCUGUAAGCCCUAACUUACUGAUUGCCCUUCUAGGUAGGUUAGGGUCGUUAGAGGGGCUAGGUUACUUCUUCGCCUAAAAGAAGUAACUGAAAACAACACUAGGCUGUGGCUAACUGAAAACGCCUAUCUUGUCAGUUAGUCGAGAUAUUUCGGUAGGAUAAGCAUGUACAAAUCUUCAGGUGUGCCUUUCCUCGGACAGGGGUUCAAUUCCCCUCGCCUCCAUAU